GAGUUUGAUCCUGGCUCAGGAUGAACGCUAGCGACAGGCCUAACACAUGCAAGUCGAGGGGCAGCACAAAGAGUAGCAAUACUUUUGGUGGCGACCGGCGCACGGGUGAGUAACACGUAUGCAACCUACCUGUAAGAGGGGAAUAACCCGGAGAAAUUCGGACUAAUACCGCAUAAUACCUUGAUUCUGCAUGGAUUCAAGGUUAAACAUUUAUGGCUUACAGAUGGGCAUGCGUAUGAUUAGCUAGUUGGUGAGGUAACGGCUCACCAAGGCAACGAUCAUUAGGGGUUCUGAGAGGAAGGUCCCCCACACUGGUACUGAGACAC
rnacentral:rRNA from 1 species